rnacentral:rRNA from 1 species
AUGGACCCGCGGCGCAUUAGCUAGUUGGUGAGGUAACGGCUCACCAAGGCGACGAUGCGUAGCCGACCUGAGAGGGUGAUCGGCCACACUGGGACUGAGACACGGCCCAGACUCCUACGGGAGGCAGCAGUAGGGAAUCUUCCGCAAUGGACGAAAGUCUGACGGAGCAACGCCGCGUGAGUGAUGAAGGUUUUCGGAUCGUAAAGCUCUGUUGUUAGGGAAGAACAAGUGCCGUUCAAAUAGGGCGGCACCUUGACGGUACCUAACCAGAAAGCCACGGCUAACUACGUGCCAGCAGCCGCGGUAAUACGUAGGUGGCAAGCGUUGUCCGGAAUUAUUGGGCGUAAAGGGCUCGCAGGCGGUUUCUUAAGUCUGAUGUGAAAGCCCCCGGCUCAACCGGGGAGGGUCAUUGGAAACUGGGGAACUUGAGUGCAGAAGAGGAGAGUGGAAUUCCACGUGUAGCGGUGAAAUGCGUAGAGAUGUGGAGGAACACCAGUGGCGAAGGCGACUCUCUGGUCUGUAACUGACGCUGAGG